rnacentral:rRNA from 1 species
UACGUAGGGUGCAAGCGUUUGUCCGGAAUUAUUGGGCGUAAAGAGCUCGUAGGCGGUUUGUCGCGUCUGCUGUGAAAACCCGAGGCUCAACCUCGGGCCUGCAGUGGGUACGGGCAGACUAGAGUGCGGUAGGGGAGAUUGGAAUUCCUGGUGUAGCGGUGGAAUGCGCAGAUAUCAGGAGGAACACCAAUGGCGAAGGCAGCUCGCUGGACCGUUACUGACGCUGAGGCGCGAAAGCGUGGGGAGCAAACAGG